UCGUAGACCAGGCUGGCCUCGAACUCACAGAGAUCCGUCUGGCUCUGCCUCCCCAGUGCUGGGAUUAAAGGCAUGUGCCACCACCGCCCGGCCUACUUUUUUUUAUUGAAGAUUCAUACAGAUUCAUACAAUAUAUUCUGAUCAUGGUUUCCUCCCCCAUUUCCUCUCAGAUCCUUUCUACCUCCAGACCCAUCCAACUCCAUGUCUUCUCUCUCUCUCUCUCUCUCUCUCUCUCUCUCUCUCUCUCUCUCUCUCUCUCUCUCUCUUUUUAGAAAACAAACAGGAAAAUUUAAAAAGCAAACAAAUCAGAAUAAAAAACAAUGAAAAGGAACGAGAAACACAAACACACACAAAAGCAACACCCAUGAAAACAUAACAUUGGAAAACAUAAUAUCUAAACAAAAGACCAGUGAGAGAAAUAAUCAAACAAAGCAAUACGAGACAAAAAGAAAUCUACAAAAAUACAUAGUGCUGGGAUUGAGGCCUACCCUUGAGUGUGGUCUAUACACUCAGUGAGACUCCACUGGAGAGAAUUAAUUUUCCUUUGCAAGUGAUUGUCUAUUGGAAAUAGCUUCUUGGUUAAGGACAGGAGCUCAUGUCCAAUUUCUCCCUCAAUGCUGGAACCCAUAUGAACCUGUGAAGGCCCAGUGCAUGCUGACCAUUAAAAGUUUUUGCUUGUUUAUUUGUUUUGAGACAGGGUCUCUCUACAUAGUCCUGGAACUCACAGAGGUUCCAGUAGACCAGGCUGGUCUCAAACUCACAGAGGCCCACCUGCCUCUGCCUCCUGAGCGCUGGGAUUAAAGGCGUGAGUCACCAUACUCCACGAUGGCUAUAUUAUACUUGUUUGUUACUCAGACCAGGAUAUCUGCUGGUAGUUAGAUGGAUGAAUGCCCCAAGGAUAGGUACCUAUCCCUUGGUGACAUCCAGGGUUCCCCUGGCAUCUUUGCAGAGGGAGAAGGCAUCCCAGGAGUGAUCCUGCCAGGGCAGGUGAGCAACUCUUUGAGGGGACAGAGGCCCGAGUCCUCAGCAAGGGCUUAAGCACAGGCUGGCCAGCAUCAGCACCUGCAGUUCUCCAAAAGCCUCUGGAUAUCUGGGAGGGGGAACACAGCUAGCAUCAACUCCUCACUGGGCCUGCUUGCCUGGCCUCUGGCUAGAGCACAGCAUCGCUUAGAAUUUGUCCCAGGGGGCACAUGGGCAGACUGGUGGACAGCUCUGGACCUUGCAUAGCCACCAAACACUCCAUUGUCCAGCCCAGGACUGUGCUCUGGGAGGGGUUGACGCCUCCAUUGUCUAAGGUAGCCUGUCACUCACCAGUAGCUGCACAAAGCUGUGGGGGCAAGGUUUAAUCCUGACUUUAGUCAGCAGAUGAAAACCAGAGGCCAGAUGUCCCAGUCUGUUUAAAAACCCAGAGCCUCUUGGCCUCACUUUUUUUUUCUUUCCUUCAAGGGGGCUUGUGGGGUGGGAGUAGGGGGGUCAAGAGUUAAUUACAAAGCAGUACCACCCCCUAACAGACAUCACAGGCAGCAAGGGGAGCCAUUCCAGGGCAAGAUAGAAGUUAAACCACCCCCAAGAGGAUUAGGCAUCCCUCCCUCCCCAAGUGGAACCUGAAGGGAACCAUGCCUGCAACUCCAUUUGCAGAAGCCAGGAGACCAGGUGCUUCAAUGCAUACUCUAUGAGCAAGCAGAAGCAGAGAUUCUAGGGCUCCCUCGCUGCUCUGCCCAGCCAGCAAAGCUGCCAAGCCAAGGGUGGAGGAGACACAGCAGUCAGACCUGACCCGGCUGGUUCCUAGACUUGAGGGUCACACAAAGAACAAGUAACUCCUCAGUGGUAAAACCACCUUCAAACUGAAAAUGCAAAGCAAGCUGACUCCUUGAAGCUGUGACAUCCCCUGGUCUUUUAAGUCACAAGACUCGUGUGGCUACUCUCCUGGAGGAGCAGUCCCAGCUGUCUGUGGUUUAAGACCUCACCUCACUGGCACUUUGUGUUGAGACAGCCUGGAGCACAGGCAGGAAAGCUACAUCUCUACCUCUGUGGAACCCCCGUCUAGCCAGCUGGGCACCAGGUGACCAAGACUGACAGCUUCCCCUAAGUAAAACCUUGUUGGGCACUUCCGCUUUGCCCCCUACUCAGUCACAGUCUAUGCCACUAGAAACCAGGCAGCUCUGGUCCCCACAGUGGUGGAGACCUCUAUCUGCUGGCAGCCUGAGGCUAGCUCCCUGCAAUCCUCAUCCAAGGCUCUAGGAUGGUCACACCAAGUUCCAGAGGCUUCUCCGUGGGUAAAGGCGUCCGGCGGUGGGAUGACCGGUUCUGUACUGUAACCAGCAGAGGUCUGUCUGUCUGCACAUGGAAAGUAGGUAAGUGGCCUCCUGCUCUUUAAAAUGGUGCCUGACUCAUGGGCACGUGGACUACCUGGCACUCACAAGCUUUGCAUGUGCCUGUGGGAGGAUAAGGGAAGGAGGGCAGUGGGGUUGCUUAGAGAAAGGAGUGGAGCUCAGCAUGGAUCCACUCCAGGUAGAGUGUGGGGUGCUUGCUCCUCAUGUGGGCCUGCCUUUGCUUGUUUCGGGCAACAGCUGGUGGGUGGGCUUAGAGAUACAUCUUAUCAAUUUUUCAUGCCCAUCCUCUAAACAUGACCCUGUUCCUGAGCCAUUAUUCCUCUGACAACUUCAUGCAAGAAAACAUGCAGACCCUCUGAUAGUGUGAAAUCAGGAACAAAGGCCUGGGGACAAAGGAGUGAGGGGUGGCUGUGGCCGGCCACAUUUCAGCCACACACAGAUGUUCCUAGGAAUGCCUGAAAGCUGAUGUUUUAAAAAGAAAUGAGCCUUAAAACAAUGUCUUCAGUAGUGAGGAGGGAAGGCAGUCCCAGCAGCAUGUUAUUGGACCCCUACGGGGCCAGACCAACAUUGCAAGUUUUAGUGAUGGGCUGUACUGGGCCCUCACAUCCAUCUGAGCUGUGUGUCCCACACCACAGUCUGUUCUCUUUCCAAGAUGAAUUUUGCUUCAUAGCUUUACAGUUUAGUGACAUUUGAUCUACACUCUCCAAGACUUCCAACAACAGUGAUCACUCAAGACAGGAAAACUUUAUAUAGAAACUCUGGUUUGAGACAACAACUGAACCCCAUUUAGCUACUGAGGGGCAGCAUUCCAGACUAAGAGGGGUAAGGCUGGGAGUGAGGACAGAAUGGCUGUGCUACCUCCCACUGUGCUGUGAAUGGGGUAGGAACUCUGAAGAAAGUCCGAGUCCCUGGGCCAACUGCUCUUCCAUGGUACUGGCACAGAGUGGGGCUGGAAGCAGGGACACAGAAGUGCUUGUGCCCAGUGAGGCUCCUCUGACUCUGUCCACACAUGCCAUCACUCACAAGACCCCUUCGGCAUCCAUAUUCAGCUACAAAUAUGGUGGCUGUAUCCCAUCUCAUCAGCACGCAAAUCCAUCAGUGUCACUAACAAAUAGUGACACUCAUGGCUGUGGGACACACACGGGUGGACAUGUGCAGAUGCUCACUGACAUGAGGACAAGCUUCUCCAUGAAACCUGAGCUGUGCAGAGAUCACCUGCCUUCCUAGCCUCUGCUGCUCUGCAGGUGACUGUGACUCUCUCUGACUGCACAGCCUCUGCACAGGGGCCCACCAGGUCAGAGGACACAGCCAGCAGGACACAGGCCACUAACAAUGAAGGCUCUGCUUUCACUCUGGGACACUUCUGGGUAUGAUGGGCUUUGAAGUCUCCUGAACAAGUAAACCCCUUCUGGCUUGGACAACUGAAGUCCAUGGGAUGAGCCUGCCCUGGUCUAGGCAGCCAGACAGAUAGCAGCUGGUAUGUGGCAAGAAACUGCUUGGGCCAAGGAGGCCCAUCUUGUAUGUAUAGCCGGCACCUUGACAAGAGCAUGUGAGCCUAGGACAGGCUCCUGACUGGAAUGGUGGUCACGGACAGUGCAGAAGACACCCAUCCUAGUUCAAUCUUUCUCUUCCCAUCCAAGGCUUUUAGCUAAAUUCCAGUCAAGCAAAUGUAUAGAAGUGAAGCUCCUCGAGCAACCUUCCCACAGCAGAGAUGACAGUAGAGCAGAAAGGGGCCGAGUGCAGUCAGCUCCCAGCCAGCCCAAGACUCUACUGAAGGAGGGACGGACUCCCAGCAAGUGCUCCUAGCCAUGCUGACAGUUCCCACAGAUGUCCCUUGAAGCAUAUCAAAGGACAAUUCUUACCACUAAGCUCACAUUUUGAUGUCUCUAAAAUGAAGAACUGACCCAGAGAAUAAUCAUUAUGUACAUUAAAAAUAGUUCUCUUAGAAUACUGAACAUUAAUAUAAAUUUGGGUUCUACUACAUAAUAUGCUGUUGAAUUAACAGAAUGUUUUCCUUGGAAUAUUUCCUGGCGAUGCUAACAAAAAGGCCCCCACUACUGCUGUUGAUGUAGGGUGCUUAGACACUGUAACCCCCACAAACCAGACAUCUUGGAUCCAGAACACACUUGCCUCACCAAUAAAACAGUGGAUGAAGUCCUUAGGUUUAAAUGCAGGUCACUGUGAAACAGGCACCAGGGAUUUAAAUGUUAAAACGUGAUAGCCCUCACAGUCUGUCACUGUCCUAUGAUAGCCACUUGAAUUUUAAAACACAAAUAAGCAUUGUCUAACCAUUCCUUGAUAACUGGUGUCUAUGAACAUUAUUUUAAAUCAUAUCAUGGAGUGGACAAUAAGGCCAAUUGGCAAGUCACUCAAGUGACAGCUCUAAGAUGGAAGUAUUCAACAUAUGAAAAUAGUAUCUAGACAAAUUCCCUGACAUUAACUGCACCCCAGUCAGCACACACAUAAGAGAUGCUCAUCUUGACUGCUGUUCUAUGCCCUUUGUGGUGGAAACCAGGGUCCUGGAUCCACAGGAAACCAUGGGGAGAAGCCACUGCCAUCCUUAUAGAGGCAAAAAGCCACCAUGGAGCUGGCAAGGAUAAUACCACAUCAGGUCUAAUUGUGUCUGAUAAAAACUUGUGACUUAAUAGUACAUACAAACAGUACCGAAUUCACCCUGCCAACCUUGCAUACCUUGAGCAUGCACAUAGACACAUACAGCUUCUGGAUGGCCAGCCCUUCCAGUCUGUCAUCUCUCUUGAAGUCUAGAUGGGGGUCAGUGGGUGCCUUGUCCCAUAGGGAAGUUGUCUGUGGCCAGGCUAUAGGAACUACAGAUACACACACCAGCAUUACAGCCACUACGUCACAUCUGCGGCCUCUCAGGUGCCCAGUAAGGCACAGCACAUAAAACAUCCUCACUGAUCCAAAACCUGAGUGUCCUGGAGCUAGCCUAACUAGCUCACAUGUGCUUCCCUGGGCAGGGAGUCGUAGCAGUACACCUCACUUAGAACAGGUUGUAGAUCGGUGGCUACAGGACUGUGGCGGCUGACCAGUCCACCCUCUGUGAGGCCAGAAGUUCAGACUGACUCAGCAAAACUGAGGGCAGGAUUUUAUAUGACUUCUUGAGCUUUUUGGAAUGGGGCUUCAUGUGACACAGGAGGCCUGAGAGCAAAGCAGGUCUGGCCACUGGAGCUUCCUUCAGGCAGGCCCCAUCCAUCACUCCAGUUCAUCUCCUCUGACUAUCCAAACAAAUGAGGUCCAGGUGAAGAGCCCCACCAUCUUGGAGAUCAGAAGAAGCUACCAAUGAUGGCAGAGGAAACACCUGCUGGCCAGCUAGCACUGUAGUCACAGGGUGGGGCAUAAGGGCUAAGUUCACAUCUGCUGUGCAAAGUUCACGGCCCACAAGUGCAUCAGACAUGGAUGCUGUUUGGAGAACUGUCAAUCAACAGACGCAGAGGCCCAUUUUCUGUCCUUCCCCUUGCUGGACACUGUCAACUGUUCAUAUGAAAUGAAACAGAGUAUCAUAACGACUCUGUUAUUUCCUCUCCUGAGAUGGCUUGCCUUGCAGCAGCUGGACAAAGAUGGACAUGGCACUAAUGAGCUUGAAUGACUUGUUUGUCCCACCAAGGUAGGACAGGACCUACUUUUAUAGGAGUAUGGGCACAAACUGAGGCUCACAUGUAGCAGGCACCCACAUCCAUGGCCCAGAAGUGUCUCACAAGACUGUGUUGCCCCUGUGGAUCAUGCUCUAUUGUGGAUGGAGGUAUACCUGCAGCAGGACCCCUUCAGGAUGUCCCCUAGGAUCAUGAGGCAGGGAAGGAUGGAGAGAAAGCAGAGCAGAGUCCCCUCAGACUCUUAGAGCUGGGACAGGCUGUAAGUAUGCAGCCAGACAAAUCCUUGAGCAGUGAGUCCAAAGAUCUAGCUCCUCUAAUAUGGUCUUGGAAUAGAAAAACACUGGCUAAUUAAGGUAUGCAAAUUGAUCUUUGCAGAAGUAAAUACUCUGAAUAUAAAAUCCAAACUGUUGUUAUAAUUUACUUCAAUACAGCUGAUAUGACCACCCCUAUUCAGAAAUGGACCAACUAGGUCUCCUUCUGAAGUCAUUAAAAAUACAACAAUUUUAAUUAGGAAUUAAUUAUGCUACUGCCAUUACUUUUCUAAAGCCCUCAAAUUGGAUGGUACUUUGUGUACACCCUAUUUGAGGCCCCAGGACCUAUGCUCCCUGCCACCUGAAUGCCCAGUCUCCUGCAGGCAAAGGUAGAAUGAAAUGUCCACUUGACCCUGUGGGAGGGCUGCUACUACUUACUUACUUACUGCAGGGGUAAGUGUGCAAAGUGUUACAGGAGCUGGUGAGCGCCGCAGUGCAGAUCUGCCUGCACUCUUGAGUUAAGAUAGAAUUCUAAGGGCUGCUAGCCAGGUAAAGCAGACCCUGAGGGGCUCAUGGGAACUCUACUGGACUCUGACACAGCAGUGCCCACGUCACAUGAAGCCCAAGUUUUAAUGCUCACUCUUCACUCUCCAUAAUACAGGCAAAGCUCCAUAUCACAAAGGGCUGCUAAGGCUUACCAGGGUAAGGCCAAGGCCAAUCACUGAAAUGCUGAGGAACAGGACUCAAUUCACAUAGCUGUACACACACAGCAGGGUGGCCAUGGCUGCCACAGCUACCCCUGUUCACUGAGCCCCUGGGGAUAUGCUGGUUGACACCUAGGCCCCAGUCCCUCUUGCUAUGGUCUGAAACAUGCUCACAGUACUUGUAGGCUGUGCACACAGGGCACAGCAGAGGGUUUGGCCGAACAAGGACCCAAUGACCACAGGUAGUUCACUGGCUAGUGUAAGGGGCUGAAAGGGUCAUCCUGUGGGGUCAUCAAAAGUAAUGAAAAGGUGCAAUAUUACCUCACUGGCUGACUUUCAGGAGCGCCUGGAUACUAGUAAUGUCUGGACACCAGGCAGCCUGAGCUGAGCUGGCUUACGGUUUUAAUGGUCUUCAUCACAUUGUGGCUGUGACACUGAGGAUCCUCUCAAGCGCUCAUCAUAGCUGGCAUAGCCAACACUGAGACCACCUCAGUGCCACUCUGCACUGUGUCCCAGGAGUCCCUCUGUUGAGGAAGGCACAUCUGCUGAGACCGUGGUGCCUUCACUGGGCCCUGUUCUAAAACAGGUACAGCUGGCAUCUGAGCGUGUAGCUGUCAGCAACUGGCAACAGGGUUUUCAAAGACAACCAGCUUCCAAAAAUGCAUCUAUCACCACUACUGAUGGGGAGGUGAUGGAGAGCAGGUGUGGUGAGCCCAGACCAUGCAGAGACAGGCGCGGAUGGCACCGCUGUCACUCUGCGUCACCAUGGCCAGCUGAACACCCCAGCUGCCAGUUGCCACUGUGCAAGGCAUAAAACAUACCCUCCAAGCAAUCCCAGCAGCAGGACUGUGCCGGAGACUGCAUUAUUAAUUAGAGUAAUGGCGCGUGGUCCUGGUACACGGCAGGAUAAUCGUGUUUAAUUUGUGUAUGUUUUAAUUAUGGCUUAAGCGGUGCCAAAUUUGAUCACAAUAUCAUCUUUUCAGUUCUGCUCUGCAAGCAUGUUUGCAUUAAUUUGCAUUUGAAACAUAAGAAGCUGCUCUUCCUGGGAGCAAUGCCUCACAGCUCUGCACACAGAGCCUCUUUCACAGGCCACCCAUCCCAUCCCCACACUCCUCCCUCACUGCAAGUGACAAGCAGGUCUCUACUGUGCUCCACGAGCCCCCAGAGCCUAGAGGCUGGUCCCUUCCUGGAGGCACCCCGGAGCCUGAGCCCGCCCUCCCUGCAGGAUGAACAAUGGCUGCAUUUAAUGCAUUUAAUUUACUGAGAUUGGGCUUAGCUCAUUGGCCUUUCAUUGUUUUGGAGAUAGAUUUAAUUAACCUCUGAUGAAUCUUGCCAGCCAGUGUGAUGGCGUGAGACCCCAAGGGCCAGGGCUAUCAAAUGGGCCCUAUUCCCUGCGAGACUGGGAUCUCCUCGCCUGUCCAGGAUGGCAGGAGAACUGAGGGGGCUCUGUUCUGGGUGGGGGACCCAGUGGCCUAAGAAAACAAAGCAAAAAGCCUAGGCACUGAUGAUCCAUCUCCACUUUCAUUUUAGGAGAAAUAUGGAAGUCACUUGGAUGUGACCUGCCAGAAAUAAAGGUACAGAAUCCCUAAGAGCACUUGGGUAACGGCUGGUCUGCAGUGCAAAGGCUACCAUCAAGCACACUGCAACAAACAGCACUCAACUGUCCUCAUUGGCUGGCCAGGAGGAUGUGGAAAUCAGCAGUGCAAGCAGGACUAGACAGACACUUGUGUGAGAAGAGCAUUCAGAAGGAAGGAAGUGGAGAGCUUGUCCUUGGAAACAGCAGCUGCCAUUAAACCCAGGGCACUCUGAGGCUCCUGCUCCCAGCACCAUAUAGGACAGCUUCAUGCAGCAGAACACUGACAACCUGAGCCAAUUGGUUCUGGUAAGUGAGCACCUGCCCCACCUUGGCCUAUGGGAACUGCUGCUCCCCGCCUGAAUAGCAGACCCUGCCUUAGCAGGCUAAUGGUCCAAGCUUGGUACAUGAGCUCCUUCUAGGGAAUGACCAAGGGUCACUGCAUUGGAAAAGGGGUCUUUAAAGAGGUCAUGGAGGUUAACAAGGUCAGAGGGGACCUGACACGAAGGGAAGAAUCCCCAGAGUUGUUGGCUUUCUAUCAUGUAAGGACACAGUGUCCAUAAGCCAGUUUUAGAGCCUGGCUUGCUGCCCUUAGCUUGAACUUCAGCCUCCAGAAUUGCAAGAAAUGAAUCUCAGUCAAGUCUCUUGUCUGAAGCCUUCUGCUGUAGCAUCCAGCACUCCCUGGGACAGUAUCCAUCCCUAGGGCACCAACUAUGGACAAAAGGACAGCAGGACAGGCAUGGAAGACUUGGGACAUAUCUAGACUCUGUAAGUUACUGGCCAAGGCUCCUUGUAACUUUGACUUUACCUACUUUCACAGUGCUCCAGUAAAGACUGAAAUUAUUGGUGGAAUUUUUAGAGAUUGGGAUUUUUCCUCUGAAUAGUAAUUGGUUCCCUCUCCCAAUGGCAAUGUGCUGGGUAUUCACUAUGUGCUAGGGGCAUUGUGGGCCAUAGCCACAUUGAUCUUUCCCAAUCUUGCAAAAGUCAGGCUCCUUGAUGAUACAUGUUCCACUCUGCCGGGGGAACUCUGUCCCACUGUGUACCCCUAGCAUGAGGGCUGCAUGGCUCUAAUCCACACCUUCUGGGUAAAUAGCUGC